GAUGAACGCUGGCGGCGUGCCUAACACAUGCAAGUCGAGCGAUUUACUUCGGUAAAGAGCGGCGGACGGGUGAGUAACGCGUGGGUAACAUGCCCUGUACACACGGAUAACAUACCGAAAGGUAUGCUAAUACGAGAUAAUAUACUUUUAUCGCAUGGUAGAAGUAUCAAAGCUUUUGCGGUACAGGAUGGACCCGCGUCUGAUUAGCUAGUUGGUAAGGUAACGGCUUACCAAGGCGACGAUCAGUAGCCGACCUGAGAGGGUGAUCGGCCACAUUGGAACUGAGACACGGUCCAAACUCCUACGGGAGGCAGCAGUGGGGAAUAUUGCACAAUGGGCGAAAGCCUGAUGCAGCAACGCCGCGUGAGCGAUGAAGGCCUUCGGGUCGUAAAGCUCUGUCCUCAAGGAAGAUAAUGACGGUACUUGAGGAGGAAGCCCCGGCUAACUACGUGCCAGCCGCCGCGGUAA
rnacentral:rRNA from 1 species